rnacentral:rRNA from 1 species
GGUUAAGUUAGAAAGGGCGCACGGUGAAUGCCUUGGCACUAGGAGCCGAUGAAGGACGGGACUAACACCGAUAUGCUUCGGGGAGCUGUAAGUGAGCUUUUGAUCCGGAGAUUUCCGAAUGGGGAAACCCACUGUUCGUAAUGGAACAGUAUCUUUAUCUGAAUACAUAGGAUAUUGAAGGCAGACCCGGGGAACUGAAACAUCUAAGUACCCGGAGGAAGAGAAAGCAAAUGCGAUUUCCUGAGUAGCGGCGAGCGAAACGGAAUUAGCCCAAACCAAGAGGCUUGCCUCUUGGGGUUGUAGGACACUCUAUACGGAGUUACAAAGGAACGAAGUAAAUGAAGCGACCUGGAAAGGUCCGUCGAAGAAGGUAACAACCCUGUAGUUGAAACUUCGUUCCCUCUUGAGUGGAUCCUGAGUACGGCGGAACACGUGAAAUUCCGUCGGAAGCUGGGAGGACCAUCUCCCAAGGCUAAAUACUACCUAGUGACCGAUAGUGAACCAGUACCGUGAGGGAAAGGUGAAAAAGCACCCCGGAAGGGGAGUGAAAGAGAUCCUGAAACCGUGUGCCUACAAGUAGUCAGAGCCCGUUAACGGGUGAUGGCGUGCCUUUUGUAGAAUGAACCGGCGAGUUACGAUCCCAUGCAAGGUUAAGCUGAUAAGGCGGAGCCGUAGCGAAAAGCGAGUCUGAAUAGGGCGUUUAGUAUGUGGUUGUAGACCCGAAACCAGGUGAUCUACCCAUGUCCAGGGUGAAGUUCAGGUAACACUGAAUGGAGGCCCGAACCCACGCACGUUGAAAAGUGCGGGGAUGAGGUGUGGGUAGCGGAGAAAUUCCAAUCGAACCUGGAGAUAGCUGGUUCUCUCCGAAAUAGCUUUAGGGCUAGCCUCAUGUUGUGAGAGUCUUGGAGGUAGAGCACUGAUUGGACUAGGGGGCCCCCAACGGGUUACCGAAUUCAGUCAAACUCCGAAUGCCAAAGACUUAUCCAUGGGAGUCAGACUGCGAGUGAUAAGAUCCGUAGUCAAAAGGGAAACAGCCCAGACCACCAGCUAAGGUCCCCAAGUAUACGUUAAGUGGAAAAGGAUGUGGAGUUGCUUAGACAACCAGGAUGUUGGCUUAGAAGCAGCCACCAUUUAAAAGAGUGCGUAAUAGCUCACUGGUCGAGUGACUCUGCGCCGAAAAAUGUACCGGGGCUAAACGUAUCACCGAAGCUGUGGAUUGACAUCUAAGAUGUCAGUGGUAGGAGAGCGUUCUAAGUGCUGUGAAGUCAGACCGUAAGGACUGGUGGAGCGCUUAGAAGUGAGAAUGCCGGUAUGAGUAGCGAAAAGACAAGUGAGAAUCUUGUCCACCGAAUGCCUAAGGUUUCCUGAGGAAGGCUCGUCCGCUCAGGGUUAGUCGGGACCUAAGCCGAGGCUGAAAAAGCGUAGGCGAUGGCCAACAGGUUGAUAUUCCUGUACCACCUCCCCGCCGUUUGAGUAAUGGGGGACGCAGUAGGAUAGGGUAAGCGCGCUGCUGGAUAUGCGCGUUCAAGCAGUUAGGCUGAUGAGUAGGCAAAAUCCGCUCAUCAUAAAGGCUGAGCUGUGAUGACGAGGGAAUUAUAGUACCGAAGUUCCUGAUUCCACACUGCCAAGAAAAGCCUCUAGCGAGGCGGGAGGUGCCCGUACCGCAAACCGACACAGGUAGGCGAGGAGAGAAUCCUAAGGUGAUCGAGAGAACUCUCGUUAAGGAACUCGGCAAAAAUGACCCCGUAACUUCGGGAGAAGGGGUGCUCUGGUAGGGUGUAUAGCCCGAGAGAGCCGCAGUGAAUAGGCCCAGGCGACUGUUUAGCAAAAAAACACAGGUCUCUGCGAAGCCGCAAGGCGAAGUAUAGGGGCUGACGCCUGCCCGGUGCUGGAAGGUUAAGAGGAGGGGUUAUCCUUUGGGAGAAGCUCUGAAUCGAAGCCCCAGUAAACGGCGGCCGUAACUAUAACGGUCCUAAGGUAGCGAAAUUCCUUGUCGGGUAAGUUCCGACCCGCACGAAAGGCGUAACGAUCUGGGCACUGUCUCAACGAGAGACUCGGUGAAAUUAUAGUACCUGUGAAGAUGCAGGUUACCCGCGACAGGACGGAAAGACCCCGUGGAGCUUUACUGUAGCCUGAUAUUGAAUUUUGGUACAGCUUGUACAGGAUAGGUAGGAGCCUGAGAAGCCGGAGCGCUAGCUUCGGUGGAGGCGUCGGUGGGAUACUACCCUGGCUGUAUUGAAAUUCUAACCCGCGGCCCUGAUCGGGCCGGGAGACAGUGUCAGGUGGGCAGUUUGACUGGGGCGGUCGCCUCCUAAAAUGUAACGGAGGCGCCCAAAGGUUCCCUCAGAAUGGUUGGAAAUCAUUCGUAGAGUGUAAAGGCACAAGGGAGCUUGACUGCGAGACCUACAAGUCGAGCAGGGACGAAAAGUCGGGCUUAGUGAUCCGGUGGUUCCGCAUGGAAGGGCCAUCGCUCAACGGAUAAAAAGCUACCCCGGGGAUAACAGGCUUAUCUCCCCCAAGAGUCCACAUCGACGGGGAGGUUUGGCACCUCGAUGUCGGCUCAUCGCAUCCUGGGGCUGUAGUCGGUCCCAAGGGUUGGGCUGUUCGCCCAUUAAAGCGGUACGCGAGCUGGGUUCAGAACGUCGUGAGACAGUUCGGUCCCUAUCCGUCGUGGGCGUAGGAAAUUUGAGAGGAGCUGUCCUUAGUACGAGAGGACCGGGAUGGACACACCGCUGGUGUACCAGUUGUCUUGCCAAAGGCAUCGCUGGGUAGCUAUGUGUGGACGGGAUAAGUGCUGAAAGCAUCUAAGCAUGAAGCCCCCCUCAAGAUGAGAUUUCCCAUAGCGCAAGCUAGUAAGAUCCCUGAAAGAUGAUCAGGUUGAUAGGUCAGAGGUGGAAGCGUGGCGACAUGUGUAGCUGACUGAUACUAAUCGAUCGAGGACUUAACCAA